rnacentral:sRNA from 2 species
CCGCCCGUCAAACCAUGGGAGCUGGUAAUGCCCGAAGUCGGUUUAUUAACAAACUGCCUAAGGCAGGACUGGUGACUGGGGUUAAGUCGUAACAAGGUAUCCCUACGAGAACGUGGGGAUGGAUUACCUCCUUUCUACGGAGUACAAAAUCGAUUAAUAUCGAUAUUAACCUUAAUAUAGACCUAUUUUCAUAAAUUGUCAUGGCUUAUUAGGUCAAUAGCAAUAUAUCUAGUUUUGAGAGAACAACCCUCAAUAUGUUCUUUGAAAACUGAAUAGUAAAUAUUUUAAAAUAUUACAACGACAUCAAAUAAUAAAUUAAUUUGGUUAAUUUGUUUUGAUUCAUCGAGUAGUUAUUUAAUAUAACUCAUUGAAAUGUCUUAAAAUACACAUCAUAACAACAAUAGGAAAUCUUAAUUAAUUCAAUUAAGAACAUACUUUUAAAUAAGUAAGAGUUUGUGGUGGAUGCCUUGGGUCUGGAAGUCGAUGAAGGACGUGAUUACCUGCGAUAAGCCUCGUGGAGCUGGAUAUAAGCUACGAAACGGGGAUUUCCGAAUGGGGAAACCUAGCUAGGGUAAUGCCUAGUUGCCUUCUUCUGAAUACAUAGGAAGUCGAGCGAGAUACCAUGUGAACUGAAACAUCUUAGUAGCAUGAGGAAAAGAAAAUAAAAAAUGAUUUCUUUAGUAGCGGCGAGCGAACGAGAAAAAGCCCAAACCAUUUUAUAAUGGGGUUGUAGGACAGUCUACAUAGAGUUACAAAAUUAAAUGAUAGCAGAAGCAUUUGGGAAAAUGCGUCAUAGAAGGUGAUAACCCUGUAUGCGAAAUUAUUUAAUCUCUUGACUGUAUCCUGAGUAGGGCGGGGCACGUGAAACCCUGUCUGAAUCUACCGGGACCAUCCGGUAAGGCUAAAUACUAACCAGACACCGAUAGUGAACAA